UGAUAAGAAUGGACUAGUGUAAUACAGUGUUCACGAUCUCAGUGUUUAAACGAAACAUAAAUGUGGAAUUGGCAAUAAAAAUGGACUGACGUCUGUAUUUGCACUAACAGGUUAAACAACAUAAAGAAAAAGAAGAUUCUACCAGGCGCUCAUAGAAGACGGAAGGUUUGCACGGCUUGCAAACAUACCGAGGCGCAAUGGCAGACCGGAACAGAUGUCGCAGCCAUACUAGCCAGCAGUGGAGCCCACGGAAUCGGGAAGAUUGGAAGUUACGGUGCUGUUUGGACGAGGCAGGCGACGGGUGGGUGACUUAGAAGACUCGAUGGGAGACCCAGCACUAUCAAUUAACUGGUGCUUGUGGGGGAGUCUACAACUGAAAAUAGAGCAGCGCUGAAAAGGAAAUUCAGACCGACUUGGCAAGAAGACAGAAGAAAUGGAAACACCUAAAAAUUUUAUGAUAAUGGCAUUGUAUUUAGUGUGCCAGUGCUUUAGACACAUAUAACCCGGAUACUGGGUGGAAGUGAAAGUGAAAAAUGACCAACCACAAUAUCGUAACACUAUAAAACAUAACCUGAAAAAAUUUUGUUACUAAAAUAACAAGAAAAGAUACGAAAAUGUUACUAAACUUGACUUUGCGAGUGAACGCGAGAACGAUUUGGAAUUAACGGCUGAGUGUAUUAAUUACCGAACCAAAAGAAUACCUUAGUUGAAGCGUCAAUAAUUAACAUCGUUUGAUUAUCGAUAAAUGUCGAUCGAUAAAUUUUGUAUGGUCGACCAGUCGAUUUGACAUCGAUCGAUGACCACUGGAUGCUGAGCGACGCAUCGAUUGACUUGGUCCGGGUAGCCAUUAGAGACAAUAAUUAAAAAUAACAAAUGUAAUGCCAUUUCGUAACUAACGCCUAAGCUUCAUUGCUUAGUUGCAUAUAAGGUGUAUUCUUGCAUCAUCAAAGUUUAAUUAUGUUACACUUUACAAUUCCAGUUGUAUCAAUGUCGCCUAUUUAACAAUUUAUAAAAAAAAUUACAAAAAGGGACUGCCUAGGCUUCACUGCUUAGUUGCAUUUAUAUGGAGCCAUUUAUUACUGGCGGGAUAGAUGGCGGGCCGUUCCUAAAAAUAUUUAAAUUACUUAGUAACAAAUAACCCUUUGUUUUUAAAUAAUAUUUAACUAGUGAUUCUUUUUUUUACAUAAAUAUACGAUUGUAUAAUUGUACUACUUAGAAAAGAACACACUGUUUGUAAUACAUCUGAAUAUUGUAAUAAAAAAAAUCUAGGUGAGUUUUUCAAUUGCAUUGACUUAUUUAUAUAAAAAAAUACAUAUAAAAAGGACUGCCUAAGCUUCACUGCUUAGUUGCAUUCAUGUGGAGCCAUAUUGUAUAAUUUGUACUUAGAAAAGAACACACUGAUUGUCAUUACAGUACAAAUUAAAUUAAUGUCAAUUUAGUUAUAUGAAUCUAUAUUGUAAUCUGAAUAAUAUUGUAUUUUAAAAAAUACCUCGCCGAGUUUUUCAAUGGAAUUGAUCAAUUUAUAAAAAAAACAACAUAUGUACUUACGUAUAUAAAAGGGACUGCCUAGGCUUCACUGCUUAGUUGCAUUUGUAUGGAUCCAUUUAUAACUGGCGAAAAGAGGGCGGGCCGUUCCUAAAAAAAUUUAAAUUAGCAAUAUACAUAUGUACCUACCUACAUACGAGUAUAGCCCUUUGUUUUUACAUAAGGUUUGACUAAUGUUUUUUACAUAAAAAUACGAUUGUAUAAGUGUGCUUAGAAAAGAGCACACUGUUUGUAUAGAGCAUACAUUUGUUAUUUUUUUUUUAUAAUACCUGCCUGAGUUUUUUAAUUGAAUUGAUCAAUUUAUAAAAAACAAAAUAUAUAAAAGGGACUGCCUAAGCUUCACUGCUUAGUUGCAUUUAUGUGGAGCCAUUUAUUACUGGCGGGAAAGGGGGCGGGCCGUUCCUAAAAAAAUAUUUAUUAGUAAUAAAUAAGUAGCUGUUUGUUUCUAAAUAAGGUUUAAUAUUUUGUUUAUAUAAAAAUACGAUUGUAUAAUUGUGCUUGGAAAAAAAAAACCGCUGUAAUACAUCUGAAUAUUGUAACUUUUUUGAAAAAAUAAUACCUCGCUGAGUUUCUUACGCCGGUUCUUCUCAGGACAGAGGUGUAACUUUGCGAACCGGUAGUAUUUUUUUUGCUAAUAAAAAAUUACA